rnacentral:rRNA from 1 species
UACAGAGGGUGCGAGCGUUAAUCGGAAUUACUGGGCGUAAAGCGUGCGUAGACGGCUAUCUAAGUCGGGUGUGAAAGCCCCGGGCUCAACCUGGGAAUUGCAUUCGAGACUGAAUAGCUAGGGUACGGUAGAGGGAAGUGGAAUUUCCGGUGUAGCGGUGAAAUGCGUAGAGAUGCGGAGGAACACCGAUGGCGAAGGCAGCCCCCUGGGCUAGCACUGACGCUCAGGCACGAAAGCGUGGGGAGCAAACAGG